AGCGUACGUUCGUGUACACUUGGCUUCGCUUGGCGCUGACACAGCGGUGACGGCACGUUCAGAUUCAUUCUGCGAUUCCUCGAGGACGUAACGAAAAACGUCGGUGUGCGCGUCAUACUAUUCCGCCGAACAGAACAGACAAGGCAUAACAGACAACUAAUAACCAACCAAGUGUAGAAUCAAAAAAAGUCAGCAAGUAAGCAUUGAUUGCAAGCAACAAAUCAAGCUCGACGCAGCACGACCUUUUAAAUAAUAGCGUAUACAAUAACAACAACUAACAACAGAGAUUUACUUUGGAUUUUGGGCAGAUUAAGAAUACGAGCAGCAGAAAACUACAGAAUAUUUUUCAGACCAAAAGCAAAAAAAGUAAACAUUUACAGUGUAAAUAAAUGACGAAAAUUAGUGGAAAGAAAAAAACAAAAUUAAACAGCAAAACAUAAAUGUAUAUAAAUAAACAAAUUUAUAUAAAAAAAAUUUAUACACAAAAACAUCAAUAAUAAAAAUUUCAAGCGCACGUGCAACUAAGAAAAUUCCAUUUCCCAAAUGCGUUAAAUUCAAAAACAAAUAAAAUUAAAUUUUUAUCAAAACACGCAAUCAACACAAUGCUACUAAACAGUUGUAGGAACUAAAUAAAUUCGCUGAUUGCACACGAAAUUACCUGGAAAUCACGUGUGAGAUCUAAUUUUUGCGGCAAAAUAAAAUACGAAAAAAGCAAGCCAGCAAACAAACAAAAUGAUUUAAACUAUAAAACAAUAACUAAAUCUAUAAAUUGUGCAAAACUAUAAAUAGCUUGCAUUUAGCUGACUAAAGUGGCCUAAAGUUGGUCAAGGAUAUCGUCAUAGCGCAGCGCGUGCACAAGAGCGGCAAUAAAAGGCAGCUAUUCCGAUUUUACUGCUAAUAAAAAAGUAAGUUUUUACGAGGUUUCAAGUAUGACGUAAAAUUACUCUCUUAAUAUUUGCAGGCGUUUGGUAAGUUG